UACGUAGGAGGCAAGCGUUGUCCGGAAUUACUGGGCGUAAAGCGCGUGUAGGUGGUGGGACAAGUCUGCUGUGAAAUCUCCCGGCUCAACCGGGAGGGUGCGCGGGAUACUGGGCGGCUUGAGGACAUCAGAGGAGAGCGGAAUCCCCGGUGUAGUGGUGAAAUGCGUAGAUAUCGGGGGGAACACCAGUGGCGAAGGCGGCUCUCUGGGGUGCACCUGACGCUGAUGCGCGAAAGCCAGGGGAGCGAACGGG
rnacentral:rRNA from 1 species